UGAGGGGAGCGGACGGUCGCGGGCACGCGGAAACGUGCGCGAGGAAAGUCCGGGCUGCACAGGGUAAGGAUAGCGGGUAACGCCCGCCGGAGGCGACUCCAGGACAAGUGCAACAGAAAUAGACUGCCGAGCGGUAACGUUCGGCGAUGGUGGAAAGGUGAGGUAAAAGCUCACCCGCGGAACGGUCAAACGUCUCCGUGCUGUAAACUCUAUCCGCAGCAACGCGGGAAGCUAUGGGUUGCCCGCCCGCUUCCUACAUCGGCUCGAGCACGGCGGCAACGCCGCGCCUAGAUAGAUGACCGUCGACUACAGAACCCGGCUUACAGCUCCCACUCAAACU
rnacentral:RNase_P_RNA from 1 species